rnacentral:rRNA from 1 species
UACGUAGGGUCCGAGCGUUGUCCGGAAUUAUUGGGCGUAAAGAGCUCGUAGGCGGUUUGUCGCGUCUGCUGUGAAAUCCCGAGGCUCAACCUCGGGUCUGCAGUGGGUACGGGCAGACUGGAGUGCGGUAGGGGAGAAUGGAAUUCCUGGUGUAGCGGUGGAAUGCGCAGAUAUCAGGAGGAACACCGAUGGCGAAGGCGGCUACCUGGACAGAAACUGACGCUGAGGCGCGAAAGCUAGGGGAGCAAACAGG